rnacentral:rRNA from 1 species
UACGCAGGGGGCGAGCGUUGUCCGGAUUUAUUGGGCGUAAAGAGCGUGUAGGCGGCCCGGCAAGUCCGUUGUGAAAACUAGAGGCUUAACCUCUAGACGUCGAUGGAAACUGUUUGGCUAGAGUCCGGAAGAGGAGACUGGAAUUCCUGGUGUAGCGGUGAAAUGCGCAGAUAUCAGGAAGAACACCCGUGGCUAAGGCGGUGCUCUAGUACGGUUCUGACGCUGAGACGCGAAAGCGUGGGGAGCGAACAGG